rnacentral:rRNA from 1 species
GACGAAGGGGGCUAGCGUUGUUCGGAAUUACUGGGCGUAAAGCGAGUGUAGGCGGUUGCCCAAGUCAGGUGUGAAAUCCUGGAGCUCAACUCCAGAACUGCCUUUGAUACUGAGGAUCUUGAGUUCGGGAGAGGUGAGUGGAACUGCGAGUGUAGAGGUGAAAUUCGUAGAUAUUCGCAAGAACACCAGUGGCGAAGGCGGCUCACUGGCCCGAUACUGACGCUGAGGCACGAAAGCGUGGGGAGCAAACAGG